rnacentral:rRNA from 1 species
UUGACCUCGGAUCAGGUAGGGAUACCCGCUGAACUUAAGCAUAUCAAUAAGCGGAGGAAAAGAAACCAACAGGGAUUACCUCAGUAACGGCGAGUGAAGCGGUAAAAGCUCAAAUUUGAAAUCUGGCUCUUUCAGAGUCCGAGUUGUAAUUUGUAGAAGAUGCUUCGGGUGUGGUUCCGGUCUAAGUUCCUUGGAACAGGACGUCAUAGAGGGUGAGAAUCCCGUAUGUGACUGGAUACCUAUGCUCAUGUGAAGCUCUUUCGACGAGUCGAGUUGUUUGGGAAUGCAGCUCAAAAUGGGUGGUAUAUUUCAUCUAAAGCUAAAUAUUGGCCAGAGACCGAUAGCGCACAAGUAGAGUGAUCGAAAGAUGAAAAGCACUUUGGAAAGAGAGUUAAACAGUACGUGAAAUUGUUGAAAGGGAAGCGCUUGCAAUCAGACUUGCACUUGGUGUUCAUCAGGGUUUCGUGCCCUGUGUACUUCAUCAAGUUCAGGCCAGCAUCAGUUUGAGUGGUUAGAUAAAGGCUUGGAGAAUGUGGCCCUCUUCGGGGGGUGUUAUAGCUCCAGGUGCAAUGUAGCCUACUUGGACU